rfam:Vibrio mangrovi strain CECT 7927 genome assembly, contig: 0001
AAUUAUGGUGGGCUGGAUUGAGGCUGACUUCGGUCAGGCCGCGUCCUUGGGAGCGGUUGUCCUAAACUCGUCCAGCUCACCACCCAU